ensembl:snRNA U1 U1 spliceosomal RNA
AUACUUACGUGGCAGGGGAGACACCAUGAUCACAAAGGUGGUUUUUCCAGGGUGAGGCUUAGCCAUUGCACUCCGGGUGUGCUGACCCCUGCGAUUUCCCCAAAUGUGGGAAACUUGACUGCAUAAUUUGUGGUAGUGAGGGGACUGUGUUCGCACUGUCCCCCA